GUUAUCGUUUAUUUGAUAGUACCUUACUACAUGGAUAACCGUGGUAAUUCUAGAGCUAAUACAUGCUAAAAACCCCGACUUCGGAAGGGGUGUAUUUAUUAGAUAAAAAAUCAAUGCCCUUCGGGGCUCCUUGGUGAUUCAUGAUAACUUAACGAAUCGCAUGGCCUUGUGCCGGCGAUGGUUCAUUCAAAUUUCUGCCCUAUCAACUUUCGAUGGUAGGAUAGUGGCCUACCAUGGUUUCAACGGGUAACGGGGAAUUAGGGUUCUAUUCCGGAGAGGGAGCCUGAGAAACGGCUACCACAUCCAAGGAAGGCAGCAGGCGCGCAAAUUACCCAAUCCCGACACGGGGAGGUAGUGACAAUAAAUACUGAUACAGGGCUCUUUUGGGUCUUGUAAUUGGAAUGAGUACAAUUUAAAUCCCUUAACGAGGAACAAUUGGAGGGCAAGUCUGGUGCCAGCAGCCGCGGUAAUUCCAGCUCCAAUAGCGUAUAUUAAAGUUGUUGCAGUUAAAAAGCUCGUAGUUGAACCUUGG
rnacentral:rRNA from 1 species